rnacentral:rRNA from 1 species
GCAAGUCGAACGGAAAGGCUCCAGCUUGCUGGAGUACUCGAGUGGCGAACGGGUGAGUAACACGUGGGUAAUCUGCCCUGCACUCUGGGAUAAGCCUGGGAAACUGGGUCUAAUACUGGAUAUGACCUUUCUCCUUAUGGGGUUUGGUGGAAAGUUUUUCGGUGUAGGAUGAGCCCGCGGCCUAUCAGCUUGUUGGUGGGGUGAUGGCCUACCAAGGCGACGACGGGUAGCCGGCCUGAGAGGGUGAUCGGCCACAUUGGGACUGAGAUACGGCCCAGACUCCUACGGGAGGCAGCAGUGGGGAAUAUUGCACAAUGGGCGGAAGCCUGAUGCAGCGACGCCGCGUGAGGGAUGACGGCCUUCGGGUUGUAAACCUCUUUCAGCAGGGACGAAGCGUAAGUGACGGUACCUGCAGAAGAAGCACCGGCUAACUAUGUGCCAGCAGCCGCGGUAAUACGUAGGGUGCGAGCGUUGUCCGGAAUUACUGGGCGUAAAGAGCUCGUAGGCGGUUUGUCACGUCGUCUGUGAAAUCCUAGGGCUUAACCCUGGACGUGCAGGCGAUACGGGCUGACUUGAGUACUACAGGGGAGACUGGAAUUUCUGGUGUAGCGGUGGAAUGCACAGAUAUCAGGAAGAACACCGAUGGCGAAGGCAGGUCUCUGGGUAGUAACUGACGCUGAGGAGCG